rnacentral:rRNA from 1 species
AUGGCGCAGGCGGCCUUCGAACACUUCACAUCCAUCAUCGGCCAUGCCACCGCAUGCAAAUUCAGCCUCAACCUUGAUGCGCUGGAUCCUCGUCGCUUUGACCUGGCUGAGCUCGACCGGCCAUUCCCUGAAGAAGAGAUUUGGGCUGCUGUCAAGUCACUUCCACUUGGAAAAGCGCCCGGCCCGUACGGUUUCACUGUCGAGUUAUUUCGGGCGUGCUGGGGCACCAUCAAGGGGGAUAUAUGCGCAGCUUUUGACAAAAUCUUCGCGAUGAACGGAUGUGUCCUCCAGAAGUUGAACCAAGCUCUAAUCACUCUCCUCCCCAAGAAGGUUGAUGCUUCAAGCUUGUUUGACUAUUGCCCCAUGAGCUUGACACACAUUUCUGCUAAGCUCUUUGCCAAGGUCCUCUUGCUACACCUUGCUCCGAAGAUGGCAAGCCUGGUGUCAACCAACGAAAGCUCCUUCAUUUCCGGGCGCAACGUCCAUGAUAACUUUCUCCUAGUUCAGCAAACUGUGAGGCUGUUGCACAAUCUCAAAGCUCCUCGAGUCCUCCUAAAGCUCAACAUUGCCCACGCAAUUGACACUAUCUCCUGGCCCUUCCUCCUCGAUACACUGUCGCACUUGGGCUUUGGGCCGCGCUGGUGCGCUUGA